rnacentral:rRNA from 1 species
GAGUUUGAUCAUGGCUCAGGACGAACGCUGGCGGCGUGCCUAAUACAUGCAAGUAGAACGCUGAAGAGAGGAGCUUGCUCUUCUUGGAUGGGUUGCGAGCGGGUGAGUAACGCGUAGGUAACCUGCCUUGUAGCGGGGGAUAACUAUUGGAAACGAUAGCUAAUACCGCAUAACAAUAGGUGACACAUGUCAUUUAUUUGAAAGGGGCAAUUGCUCCACUACAAGAUGGACCUGCGUUGUAUUAGCUAGUAGGUGAGGUAACGGCUCACCUAGGCGACGAUACAUAGCCGACCUGAGAGGGUGAUCGGCCACACUGGGACUGAGACACGGCCCAGACUCCUACGGGAGGCAGCAGUAGGGAAUCUUCGGCAAUGGGGGCAACCCUGACCGAGCAACGCCGCGUGAGUGAAGAAGGUUUUCGGAUCGUAAAGCUCUGUUGUAAGUCAAGAACGAGUGUGAGAGUGGAAAGUUCACACUGUGACGGUAGCUUACCAGAAAGGGACGGCUAACUACGUGCCACCGCGGUAAUACGUAGGUCCCGAGCGUUGUCCGGAUUUAUUGGGCGUAAAGCGAGCGCAGGCGGUUUGAUAAGUCUGAAGUUAAAGGCUGUGGCUCAACCAUAGUUCGCUUUGGAAACUGUCAAACUUGAGUGCAGAAGGGGAGAGUGGAAUUCCAUGUGUAGCGGUGAAAUGCGUAGAUAUAUGGAGGAACACCGGUGGCGAAAGCGGCUCUCUGGUCUGUAACUGACGCUGAGGCUCGAAAGCGUGGGGAGCGAACAGGAUUAGAUACCCUGGUAGUCCACGCCGUAAACGAUGAGUGCUAGGUGUUGGAUCCUUUCCGGGAUUCAGUGCCGCAGCUAACGCAUUAAGCACUCCGCCUGGGGAGUACGACCGCAAGGUUGAAACUCAAAGGAAUUGACGGGGGCCCGCACAAGCGGUGGAGCAUGUGGUUUAAUUCGAAGCAACGCGAAGAACCUUACCAGGUCUUGACAUCCCGAUGCUAUUUCUGGAGAUAGAAAGUUACUUCGGUACAUCGGUGACAGGUGGUGCAUGGUUGUCGUCAGCUCGUGUCGUGAGAUGUUGGGUUAAGUCCCGCAACGAGCGCAACCCCUAUUGUUAGUUGCCAUCAUUCAGUUGGGCACUCUAGCGAGACUGCCGGUAAUAAACCGGAGGAAGGUGGGGAUGACGUCAAAUCAUCAUGCCCCUUAUGACCUGGGCUACACACGUGCUACAAUGGUUGGUACAACGAGUUGCGAGUCGGUGACGGCAAGCUAAUCUCUUAAAGCCAAUCUCAGUUCGGAUUGUAGGCUGCAACUCGCCUACAUGAAGUCGGAAUCGCUAGUAAUCGCGGAUCAGCACGCCGCGGUGAAUACGUUCCCGGGCCUUGUACACACCGCCCGUC